AUUGAACGCUGGCGGCAGGCCUAACACAUGCAAGUCGAGCGGAUGAAGGGAGCUUGCUCCUGGAUUCAGCGGCGGACGGGUGAGUAAUGCCUAGGAAUCUGCCUGGUAGUGGGGGAUAACGUCCGGAAACGGGCGCUAAUACCUCAUACGUCCUGAGGGAGAAAGUGGGGGAUCUUCGGACCUCACGCUAUCAGAUGAGCCUAGGUCGGAUUAGCUAGUUGGUGGGGUAAAGGCCUACCAAGGCGACGAUCCGUAACUGGUCUGAGAGGAUGAUCAGUCACACUGGAACCGAGACACGGUCCAGACUCCUACGGGAGGCAGCAGUGGGGAAUAUUGGACAAUGGGCGAAAGCCUGAUCCAGCCAUGCCGCGUGUGUGAAGAAGGUCUUCGGAUUGUAAAGCACUUUAAGUUGGGAGGAAGGGCAGUAAGUUAAUACCUUGCUGUUUUGACGUUACCAACAGAAUAAGCACCGGCUAACUUCGUG
rnacentral:rRNA from 1 species